AUUGAACGCUGGCGGAAUGCUUUACACAUGCAAGUCGAACGGCAGCACGGACUUCGGUCUGGUGGCGAGUGGCGAACGGGUGAGUAAUACAUCGGAACGUGCCCAGUCGUGGGGGAUAACGUAGCGAAAGCUACGCUAAUACCGCAUACGAUCUAAGGAUGAAAGCGGGGGAUCGCAAGACCUCGCGCGAUUGGAGCGGCCGAUGGCAGAUUAGGUAGUUGGUAGGGUAAAGGCCUACCAAGCCGACGAUCUGUAGCUGGUCUGAGAGGAUGAGCAGCCAGACUGGGACUGAGACACGGCCCAGACUCCUACGGGAGGCAGCAGUGGGGAAUUUUGGACAAGGGGCGAAAGCCUGAUCCAGCAAUGCCGCGUGUGUGAAGAAGGCCUUCGGGUUGUAAAGCACUUUUGUCCGGAAAGAAAUGGCUCUGGUUAAUACCUGGGGUCGAUGACGGUACCGGAAGAAUAAGGACCGGCUAACUACGUGCCAGCCGCCGCCGUAA
rnacentral:rRNA from 1 species